rnacentral:rRNA from 1 species
CAACGGGGAAUUAGGGUUCGAUUCCGGAGAGGGAGCCUGAGAAACGGCUACCACAUCCAAGGAAGGCAGCAGGCGCGCAAAUUACCCAAUCCCGACACGGGGAGGUAGUGACAAUAAAUAACAAUACGGGGCCCUCUCGGGUCUUGUAAUUGGAAUGAGUACAAUUUAAAUUCCUUAACGAGGAACAAUUGGAGGGCAAGUCUGGUGCCAGCAGCCGCGGUAAUUCCAGCUCCAAUAGCGUAUAUUAAAGUUGUUGCAGUUAAAAAGCUCGUAGUUGAAUUUCGGGUUUGACAGAUCGGUCCGCCUCUAAGGGGUAUGAACUGGUGUAGUCAAUUUCUCACCUUCUGGAGAACCGCGAUGCCCUUAAUUGGGUGUCAUGGGGAACCAGGACUUUUACUUUGAAAAAAUUAGAGUGUUUAAAGCAGGCAUUCGCUUGAAUACAUUAGCAUGGAAUAAUAGAAUAGGACUUUGGUUCUAUUUUGUUGGUUUCUAGGACCGAAGUAAUGAUUAAUAGGGAUAGUUGGGGGCAUUAGUAUUUAAUUGUCAGAGGUGAAAUUCUUGGAUUUAUUAAAGACUAACUUCUGCGAAAGCAUUUGCCAAGGAUGUUUUCAUUAAUCAAGAACGAAAGUUAGGGGAUCGAAGACGAUCAGAUACCGUCGUAGUCUUAACCAUAAACUAUGCCGACUAGGGAUCAGGCAAGGAUAUUUUGACUUGUUUGGCACCUUAUGAGAAAUCAAAGUUUUUGGGUUCCGGGGGGAGUAUGGUCGCAAGGCUGAAACUUAAAGGAAUUGACGGAAGGGCACCACCAGGAGUGGAGCCUGCGGCUUAAUUUGACUCAACACGGGGAAACUCACCACGUCCAG